rnacentral:rRNA from 1 species
UGAUGCAGCCAUGCCGCGUGUGUGAAGAAGGCCUUCGGGUUGUAAAAGCACUUUCAGUAGGGAGGAAGGUAGUGUAGUUAACACCUGCAUUAUUUGACGUUACCUACAGAAGAAGCACCGGCUAACUCCGUGCCAGCAGCCGCGGUAAUACGGAGGGUGCGAGCGUUAAUCGGAAUUACUGGGCGUAAAGCGCAUGCAGGCGGCCUGUUAAGUCAGAUGUGAAAAGCCCGGGCUUAACCUCGGAAAUUGCAUUUGAAAACUGGCAGGCUAGAGUCUUGUAGAGGGGGUAGAAUUUCAGGUGUAGCGGUGAAAAUGCGUAGAGAUCUGAAGGAAUACCAGUGGCGAAGGCGGCCCCUGGACAAAGACUGACGCUCAGAUGCGAAAGCGUGGGGAGCAAACCAGGAUUAGAUACCCUGGUAG